AAGCGCUGCACCGCGCCCACAGGAAGCUGCUUUAAUGGUUAGGCCUACUCGGUACCAGGCUCUCGGCUGGGAAGGACCUUGAAGACCAUGCGGUUCAACUUCCAAUUUGCAGAUGUGGAAACUGAAGCCCAGAGAGGGAUGCUGCCACAGGUAGGCUUGAUAAGCAGCGUGUAUGUCCGCACCCGGGAUCCGAACCCACAAAACCUGAGCCGGCAAAGCAGAUCAUGUGAACUUAACCACUACGCCACAGGGCCAGCCCUGCCAUUGCUUUUAAAUACAAAGAAAAACAUCAACUCAUGAAAAAAAAGCCAGACAUUGUCCAUCUGCCUACAGAAUUUGCAUAGGCGAACCACAUGUAGAGUCUGUGCACUCUGUGAUCACUGUAAGAAUGAAGGAUGAGCCCGCACUUCUUUCCACUCGUAAAGGCCACAGCAUUAGCUUCAUCCUACCACACCGCUUCACAUUCUUCCGACUUUCAAGAGCUCCACUGAUGGAAGAGGGAACUGACCCGUGAGGAAAGCAACAGUCAUCUCAUCCAUCCUCAUUCAUCUCAAAUAUGUUAAAUGUUUGGUACUUUUUCUUAUAAACUGUUUCUCUCCAUCAUCUUGUAUUCUAUGUUCUUGUCUUGAGACUUCUCCCAUUAAACCAUCAUUUAGUAUACUGUUUUCUUCGUCUCAACUUCUUCAGAAGUCUAAUAAGCACCAAGAAGAGAGUAUCCAUAAGAUUAGUAUUUCAACCCCAAUGAUUGAAAUUGCAGUGUAAUAAACCUGCACAAUUUGUCAAAUUGAUGAUAAAGGUUAUGGUUGGUUGAGGUGGGAGGGAGGUGGAUGUCUCAGAGGACCACACUGGUAUGGUCAGCCAAACCAUGGCAAGACGUAAUUUUUUUUUCUUCUGGGUUGUCAUCUUAAUUGGUGGAUCGCAUGUCUGCU
rnacentral:lncRNA from 1 species